rnacentral:rRNA from 1 species
GACGAACGCUGGCGGCGUGCCUAACACAUGCAAGUCGCACGGGACCCGCAAGGGUUCAGUGGCGGACGGGUGCGUAACACGUGAGGAACAUGCCUAUCGGCGGGGGAUAGCCGGCCCAACGGCCGGGUAAUACCGCGUACGCUCACUGGGGGGCAUCCCCUGGUGAGGAAAGCAGCAAUGCACCGAUAGAGUGCCUCGCGGCCUAUCAGCUAGUUGGUGAGGUAAUGGCUCACCAAGGCUACGACGGGUAGCUGGUCUGAGAGGAUGAUCAGCCACAUUGGGACUGAGACAGGCCCAGACUCCUACGGGAGGCAGCAGUGGGAAUCUGCGCAAAUGGCCGAAAAGGCUGACGCAGCGAC